GCAAUUUGUUAUUUCUCGGUGUUUGUGGUGGAUUUCCCCAUACGACAUGUACAUGCAACACUGGAGUACCAGCUUCUGCUAAAGCAGGAAUAUCACCGAGUUGCAGCAAAGAUGGGGGUGCGGUACUUCUCAACAAACAAUGUUUUCCAGCCAUCCAAAAGGCAUCUGUGGUGUCAGGAUCUGGUACACCUAAGUGAUGACGAAGAUAUGCCUCUCCUUGCGGACUUCAUUUGGAACACUUCAUACAGCAUCCUGCACAUUCCUGUCAAUCCUGUGCCACUUAGAGUGCAUCCUACACUCAAAUGAUGCUUCCACAAAAACAAGAAGGAGCAUGGUACUUCAUCACAGCCACAGUGUGUUGAUCGAUCUCAACGCUCAGCAACAUCCUAUCGGCCCUUUCCAGCUGUUAAAAUGAAGUAUGUCGACCAUGACCAAUGGACGCAUCUGGUCCCUACUGUUCCAGAUGUGAGGAUUCAGGUCCGGGACCGGCGUCAUUGUAUACGUCAGCAUGCUGCCAAAGGACUGUUUGUUGACAUACAGCAACAAAUUGUCAAUGGGGGUAGGAUGGAACGCAUCUUUGACACAUACGUCCUAUGUUACCCUUUGGCCUACCGCCAGAACGCCAAGCCUGUCCAUGACCCAGCAUCUCAGUCCGUGGCUGAGAAGAAAUCCCUGCACAUCAAAAAGCUAAGUGCUGUUGGUUCAGGGCAUGUGGGUCGUAGGCCUUUGGUAGUAGUUGACAGGGUCAAAGAAGUUGUAGGACAGGAAGAUGUUAGGGAUAAGGUAGUAAGGAGGAGAAAGAUGGGAAACAUAAACACCAGUGUUACACAGAUAGAACAGAAGCAGGAGUUGCCUACUGAGAGAGCACUGAAACAGGAGUUGGCUAGUCAAAUAGUAUAGAAACAGAAGUUUGGUAGGGAUGAAGGAAGUGUUGCUGGUCAGGGGCAAGGGGGUCACAUGCUUUCAGAAGUAGGCAAAGGGCUUCAGGAUACACAACACAUACACGGGGUAUAUAGCUGGAUGAUGGUAUCUAAUUUCUGUGUUCCCUUCCAGCCCACUUUUGAAUGUCCCAAUAAGUUUAGUAUUGCAGAAGUGCGUGAUGACAACACAUUGCCAAUAGCUUGUGAGCCAAAUGGGGUGAAAUCAUUGGCAAGUAAGACACCAAAUACACAGGACAACAAAGGGGGAUGCCUUCUGUGCAUGACACAAGUGGGGGAGAUUCAGGCCAUAACAGUGUGCUUACAGACAGUAGCUCAUACUGAUAUUGAAAACAAACAAAAGGAAAUAAACAGCAGACCAGCUGCAGUACUUGCCAUAAGAAAGGGCAAGAACCACAUAAGAGGAGGUAUUUCAGACGGCAAUUAGCAUAGCAGAGCAGCAUGGUAUCCAACUUAGAAGUAGCAAUCCAAACAAGGCCAAUGGUAAUUGCUUGUAUGAAUCCAUUAUUGAUAACAUAAAUGCAAGAGAAUGUUUUGCAGAACAUUUGACAGAAAGGCCUGAGCACUAUAGAAAGGUCUGGAAUACUGUAGGUGAACAGAAAAUUAAGGCAUCUACAUACUAUCCAAACAUAUAUACAGAACAGCAGUGGAGAGAAGCAUGGCAAAUUUUGCAAACAACUAACCAAUAUGACCUAGACUAUUUUGGUGAUAUGGCUAUCCUUAGUUGUGCUCAUACUACUAAGAAAGAUAUCCUUGUUUUCAACACACCUUGGAAAACAACGACUGCUCAAUCUCAUAGUCCAAUAUAUGUAAUAUCUGCAGAUGCAAUAGAUCCAGCAAAUGCAAGAGAUACUCAUGUUCCAUUGGUGUUGGCAUACAAUGGCCAUCAUUUUGAAAGCCUCAUUCCUGUUUCUAAUGUUGAUGUUGACAAAACAAUUGUUUUGGUGGAUGCAUACAAGACUGGCACGUAUAAGACUCCUAGGUCUUUAGCACAAAUGUUUGAGCUCAUUGGAAAUGAUUUACACAACACAGAAAGAGAUUGUCCCAUAACAAAUAAAACCAUAUGUACACAGACCACAGAAAACCAGAAAAGAACAGAGCUUGCAGCUACCACCAUUAAUGUCCAGAUUCAAAAUUACGCUCCUAAAUCCAAGAAUUUAGAUGAAGGCAAUAAUACCAGUGAUACCGUAGCAAUAACUUUGCCAGAUGUAUGCAACAGCUGUCAAAAGCCAUUUCAAAGGCUGCUGGUACAUUUGCGCAGGUCAAAACAAUGUCAAUUACAUUACAACAUGCAAUCUUUGUAUCAAGAAGUAAUUGUGAAACACACAGACCAAAAACCUGUAUGGCAAGCUGCCAAACGUCAAAAAAUGCAAAAACAUAAGCAAACUGAGGUCAUCGUAGGCCUAAACCAUGUUGAACAACAACCUCUACCAUGUCAGAAAGAGAAAGAGUCCACUCCAAUUGAAGCCAGUGCAAUACACAUGAAAAUGUCACAGGAAAAAAUGUUUCACCAUGUAAUGUAAAUAAAAACACAGAAAGAGAUUGUCCCAGAACAAAUGACACAAUAUGUAAGCAGGCCAAAGAAAACCAGAAAAGAACAGAUCUUGCAGCUAUCACCAGUAAUCUCCAGAUUCAAAAUAUAGGUCCUAAAUCCCACAAUUUACAUGAAGCCAAUAAUACCAGUGAUACCCUAACAAUAACUUCCCUAGAUAUAUGCAAGGGCUGUCAAAAGCCAUUUCAAAGGUUGAUAGUACAUUUGAACAGAUCAAAACAAUAUCAAUUACAUUACGACAUGAAAUCUAAGAGCAAUCCAACAAUGCUUAAUCCAAAUGCAGAUGAAGUUGUUUUUUUCAAUGAAAUGGAAAGCCCAUGUCUCACAUUCUCUCCUUUCACUAUGGAGCAAAAAAAAAACCACUUUGUUCAAAAAUUAACAUCAUCCACAACCUGAAUAUGUUGAUACACAAGAACCAGUUCCAAUGAAUGUCCCAAUGAAAGAUCCUUGUGAGACAAAGGCUAUUGUAGGUGAUGGUAACUGCUUUUUCAGAGCUCUGUCAUUUUCCAUUAGUGGAAGUGAAGGUCAUCACAGAAAAAUCCGACUAGCUGUGGUUAAACAUAUGGAAACAAAUGCAUCACAGCAUGCUCCUAUUCUCAAAGAUUGAUAUUUUUCUGUUGAAAACUAUGUGAAAGCAUCACGCAUGAAAUAUGUUAAAACUUGGGCAUCUGAGGUGAAAUACAAGCAGCUGCAGAUCUCUUUGGAGUUGAUGUUUUAACAUACAGUCGCAACAAGUGGUCCACAGCAAAUGGAAAGACAAUUCACACAGCUAUAUACCUAAUCACUGCAACGCGUCUCAUUACGAAGUAGUUACAUGCGUUAAGCAUCACAAUUCUGCCCUAUGCACUAAACUCUGCAACAAAUCCAAUGAAUGCCCUCAGUCACAUCAGAUAAGGAGUUCUUCAAGUCGACGUGAGCUUGACAGAAAAAACAAACAAUAUGAAAUAAACAAACAAUUCCAAAAUGCAAAAAAUAAAAUAGGAAUUAAAAGAUACAAUGAAGAUGAAAACUACAAGAAAACUGAAAAGAAGGCAGCAUAAACAAAUACGCCACUGAUGCCCAACACCGGACAAAUGUGAAACAAUACAGUGCACACAGAUAUGCCACUGAUGAACAACACCGUGCAAAUAAGAAAAAGUGCAGCAUAGAAAAAUAUGCCACUGAUAAACAACACCGUGCAAGUACAAAACAAUACAGCAUAGACAAAUAUGCCACUCAUGACCAACACCGCACAACUGUGAAACAAUACAGCAUAGACAAAUAUGCCACUGAUCAACAACACCAUGCAAGUACAAAACGAUACAGCAUAGACAAAUAUGCCACUGAUGAACAACACAAGGAAAAUCUGAAACAGUACAAUAUUACCAGAAGGAUUGAA